CCCAGACAGCCAGGAUGUUGGCUUAGAAGCAGCCAUCAUUUAAAGAAAGCGUAAUAGCUCACUGGUCGAGUCGGCCUGCGCGGAAGAUGUAACGGGGCUAAACCAUGCACCGAAGCUGCGGCAGCGAACGUAUCACUUAAAGCGAUUCAGCGGGUUACGAUUGACGGAGCGAAGCGACGUCAAAGCGUAUACAAAGUCGAGUUGGCUUAGGGAUACGUUCGUUGGGUAGGGGAGCGUUCUGUAAGCCUGUGAAGGUGUGUCGUGAGGCAUGCUGGAGGUAUCAGAAGUGCGAAUGCUGACAUAAGUAACGAUAAAGCGGGUGAAAAGCCCGCUCGCCGGAAGACCAAGGGUUCCUGUCCAACGUUAAUCGGGGCAGGGUGAGUCGACCCCUAAGGCGAGGCCGAAAGGCGUAGUCGAUGGGAAACGGGUUAAUAUUCCCGUACUUGGUGUUACUGCGAAGGGGGGACGGAGAAGGCUAUGUUGGCCGGGCGACGGUUGUCCCGGUUUAAGCGUGUAGGUGUGUGUUCCAGGUAAAUCCGGUUCACUUUAACACUGAGGCGUGACGACGAGGCACUACGGUGCUGAAGCAACAAAUGCCCUGCUUCCAGGAAAAGCCUCUAAGCAUCAGGUAACACGAAAUCGUACCCCAAACCGACACAGGUGGUCAGGUAGAGAAUACCAAGGCGCUUGAGAGAACUCGGGUGAAGGAACUAGGCAAAAUGGUGCCGUAACUUCGGGAGAAGGCACGCUGACACGUAGGUGA
rnacentral:rRNA from 1 species